rnacentral:rRNA from 1 species
CGACGUGGAUAACCUGCCUCACACAGGGGAUAACAGUUAGAAAUGACUGCUAAUACCGCAUAAGCGCACGGCAUCGCAUGAUGCAGUGUGAAAAACUCCGGUGGUGUGAGAUGGAUCCGCGUCUGAUUAGGUAGUUGGUGGGGUAACGGCCUACCAAGCCGACGAUCAGUAGCCGACCUGAGAGGGUGACCGGCCACAUUGGGACUGAGACACGGCCCAA